rnacentral:lncRNA from 1 species
GACAGCACUUUAAGCAUCUCGAGGGACUGGGCACUUGGGAGGCCAAAACUUCAUGAAUCGAGUCUUGCUCGACUUUCCAUGAUGGGAAUUCAGACCCCGAGGCUCAGAGAGCAGAACGCAACCGGCGCCAGGGUCCCGGGGAGAGAGGCAGCAGGAAGUGAGGCUGAGGGGCUGUCUGUGUCGCGCAGGGAGCCGGGCAGGGCUGUUUUCCAUGGCUGCCGGCCCUCUCCUUAGAUGAGUACACAGCUGCUUUUCAC